rnacentral:rRNA from 1 species
ACCCCACUAUUAGCUCUCAAGGAAAACUCUAAGCACUACGGUUUCAAAACUAAAACUUAAAUAACAUGGCGGCGAGCUUAAAUUUCAGAGGAACCUACCAGAUAAAUGAUAACCCGCAAGAUAUUCUUACUUUACCUAAAAGUUUAUAUAUCGCCGUCUAGUAAUCUUUCAAGAAGGCUACAAGAUGUAUAAUCACAAAAAGACAGGCCAUGACAUAGCGUAUGGUGAAGACUUGAGGUGGGUUACAAUAAGUAAUUCUUUCAGAAAUUUGUCUAAAGACAAAGACUAAGAUGGAUUUGAAAGUAAUAGUUAAGAUAAAUACAUAGUGAAUUUUUCUAAGUUCGUGUACACACCG